UUGUGUUGAGCGGUUUGCGGUGUACAAUGAGAACAUUACAGUAUUCUUCACAAGCUUAAAUUAAACUAAAAUAAAGUGCAUAGUAACAACGAUAAAUACUAAAUAAAAAUCUCAAAACUAACUCGAGGAAUAUGACGAAAAUGUAUUUUAAAUUCUACACAAUAUUAUAUAAUUAUAAUAAUGUUGAAAGUGUUGCACUAAAGUUAGCACUUCCUGACACCUGGGACCAAGUGAAUUCAAAAGUUAUUUUUACUUCAAAUGACUAGAAAGUAAUGCUCACUAAUUUAUGACACUAUCAGACAGAUAUAAGGAACAAGAGGAGGUGGUACUUGAUUUGUCCUCCGAAGAUCUUUGAUGCGGUUUCGUGAGAGAACUCAACAAUGGUCGGCAUGCUUUGAACAAACACCCAGGAUUUCAGAUCGUCUUCGGUGAACGCUUUGCCUUCGUACUUCACGCGUGGGUCUUCGAACUGUACAAAAGUAUUAUUUAUUGUAUUGUAGCUUUUAUUAUGAACAGUGCUUAUAGAGACAUAUAAACAAUUUUUGUUAAAAAUAUAAAAUGAUAUUAAAUAAA